GAUGAACGCUAGCGGCAGGCUUAACACAUGCAAGUCGAGCGGUAGAGAGGUGCUUGCAUCUCUUGAGAGCGGCGGACGGGUGAGUAAUGCCUAGGAAUCUGCCUAGUGGUGGGGGAUAACGUUCGGAAACGGACGCUAAUACCGCAUACGUCCUACGGGAGAAAGCGGGGGAUCUUCGGACCUCGCGCCAUUAGAUGAGCCUAGGUCGGAUUAGCUAGUUGGUGAGGUAAUGGCUCACCAAGGCGACGAUCCGUAACUGGUCUGAGAGGAUGAUCAGUCACACUGGAACUGAGACACGGUCCAGACUCCUACGGGAGGCAGCAGUGGGAAUAUGGACAAUGGGCGAAAGCCUGAUCCAGCCAUGCCGCGUGUGUGAAG
rnacentral:rRNA from 1 species